rnacentral:rRNA from 1 species
UACGAAAGGAGCAAGUGUUAUUCAGAUUAACUGGGCGUAAAGGGCACGUAGGCGGUUUGUUUAUGUGGAUUAUUAAAUUAUAAAGCAUAACUUUAUAAUGUAGUAUAAACAGCAAAACUAGAGUUAGGUAGAGAGUAGUAGAAUUUCUAAUGUAAAGGUGAAAUUUGAUAAAAUUAGAGAGAAUACCAAUGGCGUAAGCACCUUCUUGGACCUUAGCUGACACUGAGGUGCGAAGGUAUGGGGAGCAAAUAGG